AGAGUUUGAUCCUGGCUCAGGAUGAACGCUAGCUACAGGCUUAACACAUGCAAGUCGAGGGGCAGCAUGAACUUAGCUUGCUAAGUUUGAUGGCGACCGGCGCACGGGUGAGUAACACGUAUCCAACCUGCCGAUGACUCGGGGAUAGCCUUUCGAAAGAAAGAUUAAUACCCGAUGGCAUAGUUCUUCCGCAUGGUAGAACUAUUAAAGAAUUUCGGUCAUCGAUGGGGAUGCGUUCCAUUAGGUUGUUGGCGGGGUAACGGCCCACCAAGCCUUCGAUGGAUAGGGGUUCUGAGAGGAAGGUCCCCCACAUUGGAACUGAGACACGGUCCAAACUCCUACGGGAGGCAGCAGUGAGGAAUAUUGGUCAAUGGACGAGAGUCUGAACCAGCCAAGUAGCGUGAAGGAUGACUGCCCUAUGGGUUGUAAACUUCUUUUAUACGGGAAUAAAGUGAGGCACGUGUGCCUUUUUGUAUGUACCGUAUGAAUAAGGAUCGGCUAACUCCGUGCCAGCAGCCGCGGUAAUACGGAGGAUCCGAGCGUUAUCCGGAUUUAUUGGGUUUAAAGGGAGCGUAGGCGGACGCUUAAGUCAGUUGUGAAAGUUUGCGGCUCAACCGUAAAAUUGCAGUUGAUACUGGUCGUCUUGAGUGCAGUAGAGGUAGGCGGAAUUCGUGGUGUAGCGGUGAAAUGCUUAGAUAUCACGAAGAACUCCGAUUGCGAAGGCAGCUUACUGGACUGUAACUGACGCUGAUGCUCGAAAGUGUGGGUAUCAAACAGGAUUAGAUACCCUGGUAGUCCACACAGUAAACGAUGAAUACUCGCUGUUUGCGAUAUACAGUAAGCGGCCAAGCGAAAGCGUUAAGUAUUCCACCUGGGGAGUACGCCGGCAACGGUGAAACU
rnacentral:rRNA from 1 species